rfam:Picea glauca, whole genome shotgun sequence.
GGGUCUGUAGCUCAAAGGAUUAGAGAACAUGGCUACAAACCAUAGUGUUGGGGGUUCAAAUCCCUCCUUGCCCA